UGGGGAAUUUUGGACAAUGGGCGAAAGCCUGAUCCAGCAAUGCCGCGUGUGUGAAGAAGGCCUUCGGGUUGUAAAGCACUUUUGUCCGGAAAGAAAUCCUUGGCUCUAAUACAGUCGGGGGAUGACGGUACCGGAAGAAUAAGCACCGGCUAACUACGUGCCAGCAGCCGCGGUAAUACGUAGGGUGCAAGCGUUAAUCGGAAUUACUGGGCGUAAAGCGUGCGCAGGCGGUUUGCUAAGACCGAUGUGAAAAUCCCCGGGCUCAACCUGGGAACUGCAUUGGUGACUGGCAGGCUAGAGUAUGGCAGAGGGGGGUAGAACUCCACGUGUAGCAGUGAAAUGCGUAGAGAUGUGGAGGAAUACCGAUGGCGAAGGCAGCCCCCUGGGCCAAUACUGACGCUCAUGCACGAAAAGCGUGGGGAGCAAAACAGGAUUAGAUACCCUGGUAGUCCACGCCCUAAACGAUGUCAACUAGUUGUUGGGGAUUCAUUCCUUAGUAACGUAGCUAACGCGUGAAGUUGACCGCCUGGGGAGUACGGUCGCAAGAUUAAAACUCAAAGAAUUGACGGGGUCAUA
rnacentral:rRNA from 1 species